GGGAAGUAAACGACUGCCUCUCCGGUACACAUGCCUCAAAGAAAGCCCUAUCAUCAUAUGAGCAGUAAUAGUUAAAGCAACUAACUUUCUCAACAACCCAUGAGGCCUUCUAUUCCCAGCCCAAGACACACUCAAAUCCUGCAACCCCUAGAAACCAUCUGACUAACCAGGGGACACGGGUUCGAGCCCUGGUCCGGGAGGAUCCCACAUGCCGCGGAGCAACUAAGCCCGUGAGCCCCAACUACUGAGCCUGCGCGUCUGGAGCCUGUGCUCCGCAACAAGAGAGGCCGCGACAGUGAGAGGCCCACGCACUGCGAUGAA